rnacentral:rRNA from 1 species
AUUGAACGCUGGCGGAAUGCUUUACACAUGCAAGUCGAACGGCAGCACGGGGGCAACCCUGGUGGCGAGUGGCGAACGGGUGAGUAAUACAUCGGAACGUGCCCAGUCGUGGGGGAUAACGUAGCGAAAGUUACGCUAAUACCGCAUACGAUCUACGGAUGCUAGCGGGGGACCGUAAGGCCCCGCGCGAUUGGAUGGGCCGAUGUCAGAUUAGGUAGUUGGUGAGUUAAAGGCUCACCAAGCCGACGAGCUGUAGCUGGUCUGAGAGGACGACCAGCCACACUGGGACUGAGACACGGCACAGACUCCUACGGGAGGCAGCAGUGGGGAAUUUUGGACAAUGGGCGCAAGCCUGAUCCAGCCAUUCCGCGUGAAGGACGAAGGCCUUCGGGUUGUAAACUGCUUUUGUACAGAACGAAAAGGUUUCUACUAAUACUAGGAGCUCAUGACGGUACUGUAAGAAUAAGCACCGGCUAACUACGUGCCAGCCGCCGCAGUAA